rnacentral:rRNA from 1 species
CCUACGGGAGGCAGCAGUGGGGAAUUUUCCGCAAUGGGCGAAAGCCUGACGGAGCAAUACCGCGUGAGGGAAGAAAGCCUACUGGGUUGUAAACCUCUUUUUUCAGGGAGGAAAAAAAUGACGUGUACCUGAAGAAUAAGCAUCGGCUAACUCCGUGCCAGCAGCCGCGGUAAGACGGAGGAUGCAAGUGUUAUCCGGAAUUACUGGGCGUAAAGCGUCUGUAGGUGGUUUAAUAAGUCAACUGUUAAAUCUUGAGGCUUAACUUCAAAACAGCAGUCGAAACUAUUAGACUAGAGUAUAGUAGGGGUAAAGGGAAUUUCCAGUGGAGCGGUGAAAUGCGUAGAUAUUGGAAAGAACACCGAUGGCGAAAGCACUUUACUGGGCUAUUACUAACACUCAGAGACGAAAGCUAGGGUAGCAAAUGGGAUUAGAUACCCCAGUAGUCCUAGCUGUAAACAAUGGAUACUAGAUGUUGAACAGAUCGACCUGUGCAGUAUUAAAGCUAACGCGUUAAGUAUCCCGCCUGGGAAGUAUGCUCGCAAGNGUGAAACUUAAUNAUAGAGNGNGAGAGNGCGACGACGACACGAGGAGUAG